rnacentral:tRNA from 1 species
GACUCUCAUGGUGUAGUGGAAUCACAUCUGUCUAACACACAGAAGGUCCUCUCAGAAUCGAAACUGGGUGAAGUCA